UGGGAGGAGGUCCCGGGAAGACCCGGGACUAGGUGGAGGGACGUCCAGCUGGGAGAGUCCCGGAGAAGACCCGGGACUAGGUGGAGGGACUCUAGCUGGGAGGAGGUCGGGGAAGACCCGGGACUAGGUGGAGGCACGUCCACGGGAGGAGGCCUCGGGGAAGACCCAGGACUAGGUGGAGAUAUUGUAUCUCCAACCUGGCCAGGAACACUUCGGGAUCCCCCAGUUGGAGCUGGUUAAUGUGGCUCAGGGAAAGGGACGUUUGGGGUCCCCUGCUGGAGCUGCUGCCCCCGAGACCAGAUACCGGAUAAGAUGGAUGAAGAUGGAUGAAGAUGGAUGGACACCAAUCAACUGCAAAAGACCCACUUUAUGUCUAAGUGUGUAAAAGUAUCUCUACAAAGGGAUCUAAUUUAAUGACAAAUGCUGCCUGUCUGAUCAUAAAUGUGCAGUUGUAUAAAUGUUG